rnacentral:rRNA from 1 species
UACGUAGCAGCAAGCGUUGUUCGGAAUUACUGGGCGUAAAGAGUGUGUAGGCGGUGCUCUAAGUUUGGUGUGAAAUCUCCCGGCUCAACUGGGAGGGUGCGCCGAAAACUGGAAUGCUUGAACAUGGGAGAGGAAAGCGGAAUUCCUGGUGUAGCGGUGAAAUGCGUAGAUAUCAGGAGGAACACCUGCGGUGUAGACGGCUUUCUGGACCAUUGUUGACGCUGAGACACGAAAGCGUGGGUAGCAAACAGGAUUAGGAC